rnacentral:lncRNA from 1 species
AAUGGUUAUAAUUUAUAACGAACUCAUUUAUUAACAUAAAAACCUUUACUGUCCACUUACCUCGGUGAGAUCCAUGAAAACGACAUAUGAAAACAAUAACCUUAUAGUAUCAUGAAAUCAUACACACUUUAUAACAUAACACAUAUCAUACCUUUACAUUUCAAUCAUCAGAAAACAUAUUUCCUCUUUUACCAGCCUACUAGUAUCCCUGGGGAUCCAUAGGGGGUCCCCGCUACACGUGAACCAUUAACAUUUACAACCUAAUUCCAAGGCCGUCCCCAUACCCCGUCCGGUAUGGGUGCCAAAACACAUAAGGUCUCCAUACCCCGUCCGGUAUGAGAGACCACGUUCCCGGUAGGGUUCCCUACAGACCGGGUCCGUCCAUCAUCUCCCAGGAUAUCUAGUCAGGCUGUCCACAUUAUCCAUUUUGCCUUUUUCCUUGAUCUCAAUCAUCCAAUCAUACACAACAUGUAAACCAGUAAUUGACACCAAAUAAGACAAUACAGUACCGGGUUCACC